UACGUAGGGUGCAAGCGUUGUCCGGAAUUAUUGGGCGUAAAGAGCUCGUAGGCGGUCUGUCGCGUCGGCUGUGAAAACUCGGGGCUCAACUCCGAGCUUGCAGUCGAUACGGGCAGGCUAGAGUUCGGCAGGGGAGACGUGAAUUCCUGGUGUAGCGGUGAAAUGCGCAGAUAUCAGGAGGAACACCGGUGGCGAAGGCGGGUCUCUGGGCCGAUACUGACGCUGAGGAGCGAAAGCGUGGGGAGCGAACAGG
rnacentral:rRNA from 1 species